GUGUGUUAAAGUGACGACACUGCGGAAGCUGUAGCUAAACACAAACACUUAGUUAGUAUUUCAUUUGUUAAGAGGAUUCGUCAUUAUUGCCACAAAAGACAAUGUCGCGCGUGUCCGCGCGCAUCCACGCGCGCGCGUCCACGAGAAAGAGCCCGAUUGUGAUAGAAUUGUCUUUUUGUGUUUAACAACAGCGGGUGUCGCUCCAAAUUAAAUUGUUGUGUGUAUCUACGUGUGUUUUCCUGCAGCAGCCGGGUUUUUUUUGUUCUUUUUGUUCGGUUGCGUAACUGUCAGGCAGAAUUACGUGUAGGGUGACGUUGGAGCAUGCGGAGGAGGGCGCUGGGCAGCACCACUUGGACCGGAGAGGACCGAGCGCGUUUCAUUCCGGCAGCAAGGACGCAUCGGAGGGACCGAGGGCGCCGAGCCGAAGCCCGCUGAAGCCCGUCGUCUCCUUCCACGCGGCGGCCGAGGAAAACGGGUCCGGCCCACCGGGGAGUGUCCGAGUGGCUUUGUGCGGGGUCGUGAGCCUUCAGAGAGACAGGAGGGGGGGAGAGAAAAGAGAGAGACAGACAGGAGGGCCGCGGACCGACCAGGCCAAUAACGGAUAAUGAAUCACGGUCCAGUCGUCGCGUCGCAUCUGGCGAGCCGCCGUUGACGCGCCGAUCGGUCGCGUUCUUCUUUCUUCUGUCUUCGCCGCGUCAGUUCGCGCGGACUUCUUUUGUUCGCCCCGAAUCCCGAAUUCUACUCCGUUUCAUUUGUUUUGCCGCUGUGAGA